UUUUUAUUUGCUUAUUUUUUGAAAAUAAACAUGCUAUGAUGCAAAUGAUGCAGACAAGACUGGCUGGCUGUGUAUCUCAGAACACAGGAUCGAAGCUUCGGUUUAAACUCAUUUUUUCAAUUCUUUUUUUUUAUUUGCUUAUUUUUUGAAAAUAAACAUGCUAUGAUGCAAAUGAUGCAGACAAGACUGGCUGGCUGUGUAUCUCAGAACACAGGAUCGAAGCUUCGGUUUAAACUCGAAACCCCAAUUCAUCUGAAAC
rnacentral:lncRNA from 1 species